UCUGGUUGAUCCUACCAGACCUGACUGCUAUCGGGAUACGACUAAGCCAUGCAAGUUGAAUGGUUCUCGUAACCAUAGCGUACUGCUCAGUAACACGUAGAUAACCUACCCUAAGGUUGGGGAUAAUCCCGGGAAACUGGGCAUAAUCCCCAAUAGAUAAGCUGUACUGGAAUGUCUUCUUAUUCAAACCUCCGGGGCCUUAGGAUGGGUCUGCGGCGGGAUGGUAGUAGGUGGGGUAACGGCCCACCUAGCCUUUGAUCCGUACCGGACAUGAGAGUGUGUGCCGGGAGAUGGCCACUGAGACAAGGGGCCAGGCCCUACGGGGUGCAGCAGGCGCGAAAACUCUACAAUGCCCGAAAGGGUGAUAGGGGAAUCCCGAGUGCUUCCUUAGCCGGAAGUUUUUCCCGAGCGUAAUGUUCUCGGGGAAUAAGGGGAGGGCAAGGCUGGUGCCAGCCGCCGCGGUAAAACCAGCUCCCCGAGUGGUCAGGAUGAUUAUUGGGCCUAAAGCGUCCGUAGCCGGUCGUGUAAGUCUUUGGUGAAAGGUCGGGUCUUAAGCCCGAAUUUGCUAGCGAUACUGCGCGACUUGGGACCGGAAGAGGCAAAUGGUACGUUGAGGGUAGGGGUGAAAUCCUGUAAUCCCCAACGGACCACCGGUGGCGAAGGCGAUUUGCUGGGACGGAUCCGACGGUGAGGGACGAAACCCAGGGGAGCGAGCGGGAUUAGAUACCCCGGUAGUCCUGGGUGUAAACGAUGCGCACUAGGUGUUGGCGAAGCUACGAGCUCCGUCGGUGCCGAAGCGAAGGCGUUAAGUGCGCCGCCUGGGGAGUACGGUCGCAAGACUGAAACUUAAAGGAAUUGACGGGGGAGCACCACCAGGGGAGGAGCCUUCGGUUCAAUUGGACUCAACGCCGGAAAACUUACCGGAGUCGACAGCAUGAUGAUGGCCAGGCUGAAGACCUUGCUUGAAGCGCUGAGAGGAGGUGCAUGGCCGUCGCCAGCUCGUACCGUGAGGCGUCCUCUUAAGUGAGGCAACGAGCGAGACCCUCAUCCACAGUUGCCAGCACAAGAUGGUAUCUUGGUGGGCACACUGCGGAGACUGCCCGCGAAAAGUGGGAGGAAGGUGAGGGCCACGGCAGGUCAGUAUCCCCCGAAAACUCCGGGCCACACGCGGGCUACAAUGGCUGGGACAGAAGGCCCCGACCUUGAAAGAGGAAGGAAAUCCUUAAACCCAGUCUCAGUUGGGAUUGAGGGCUGCAACCCGCCCUCAUGAACGUGGAUUCCCUAGUAACCGCGUGUCAUCUAUCGCGCGAUGAAUACGUCCCUGCUCCUUGUACACACCGCCCGUCGUUGCACUCGAGUUGGGUUUGCCUGAGGCUGCAUUUUCCUUCGGGAAGGCGUAGACGAAGGUGAGUUCGAUAAGAGGGCAAAAGUCGUAACAAGGUA
rnacentral:rRNA from 1 species